GACAGAGGUGCCGAGCGUUAGGCGGAAUCACUGGGCUUAAAGCGUGUGUAGGUGGAUGUCUAAGUACCUUGUGAAAUCCCACGGCUUAACCGUGGAACUGCUCGGUAUACUGGAUGUCUUGAGGCCAGCUAGGGGCUACCGGAACAAAUGGUGGAGCGGUGAAAUGCGCAGAUAUCAGGAGGAACACCGGUGGCGAAGGCGGCCUGCUGGGGUGGAGCUGACGCUGAGGCGCGACAGCGUGGGGGAGCAAACAGG
rnacentral:rRNA from 1 species